CGGAGGGGGUUGGGGAAAGGGAGGGGGAUGGGGCAGCCGCGCCUUCUCCGUCCUCCCCAGCCCGCGGGGGGCGCAGCCCAGGGGCUGACUUGAUAAAGUCGGAAACACGCCGGUUAAAGACAUAAGAUUUUGAGGCAGAAGAUUAGAGACAUAAACGUGUAAAUGUGACAAACAGAAAGAGGUUAUGCCAUUAACAAAAUGGAAAUGUGGAGUCGGAUGCCCCACUGCCGUGUAUAGGAUACAGGAAAAGAGAUGUGGGAUAGGAAGCACAUAUUACUUCAUCACUUGAAUCUCAGCUACAGAGAGGCUUCUCAGGACAAGUACCUUCCUAACUGUUCUUUGAAAAGUGUACCCUUGGAUCACUUGAAAGCUUCAGAAAAAGGAUAGUGAGGUAAGUACAAAUCUACUGGGUUUAGUAGAAGUAUGAAAUUGCUUAUCCUAUUUGAGCUUUUGUGUGUCUUUUAAAGGUUAUAUUUAA
rnacentral:lncRNA from 1 species